GAAGGGCGCGGCCCGGCGCGCGCCGGGGUCGUUGCUGGAGCGCGGGCGGCCACCCGGCGCGCGGAGCCGGGGCACGGGUCCCGGGGCGCCAGGCGCCGGGGUCUCGCUCGCGCCCUCUCCCCGCUUUCGCACUCUCGCCGCCACCCCCUCCCGCCCGCUUCGGGCGAGCGGCCCACCUCGCGCCUGCGCACAAGCCCCGGUGCUGGCCAAGAGGCCAGCGUUUCGGCGCUUUACGCCUGCGCGCGGGCGGCCCCAUCGCGCUCCUUUUUUUCUCCCGCCUCGUCAGAGGGCUUGGACGAAUAAUAGGAGAGAGAGAACUGGGUUUCUGCCAAUCGUUGGAAGUGUGGGUGGGGCUGGAGGUGGGAAGGGGGUGGGUAAUUUGGGAAGAAGAAACAGAGAAAGCGGAGGUUAUAAAACCAAUGAGAGGGCGAGUGAAGGCAGGAGGAGGCGGGACGAAGGGAGUAACUAAUAGAAAAGCGUGAAGAUGAACCUCCUGGCCAAUAAAGAUGGCUGAAGAGUGAAAGACUGUGGAAGGAGGCGGGUGCUGUGCGAGAAGAGGCGGGUCUGCCUAAUAGGAAUGGUUAAAAGGGAGCCAAUGAAAAGGGGAGUAGGCGGAGGUCAAAUUGACAGACAGUGAUGUCUAUUUGGGCGGUGACAGACAGCAUCCGCAGUCGAUAGGAGCUGAGGGAUUCUUUGGGUCUCCCAAGAAGCAACAGGAGGAAGAUAGACAGCUGUCUCAGCCAAUGGCAGCAUCCAAAGGGAAGGGGUGCUGCCAGCAGGCAGUGCCAAGCCAGGGAUGUCGGUGACAACCGGAGACAAGCGCGAGAGGCCUUUGCCCAUCUGUGCCCACCACUUAGCAUGGCUGUUCCUCCACUUUCACCUGACUCACUUCUACCAGCCUUCAUAACGUCAUUCCCAUACUCCUAGAUAGGGCUGCUAUGCCCUCUACUUCUGUACUCCUGACCAGCUGGUUUGUCAUUUUCUGCAUUUACCCUGUCUCCACAGCUAGACUGUAAGUUCUACCAAGGCAGGGCCUGAAUAUUAAUUAUAAUGAUUAUGGGAAUUCCCUGGCAGUCCAGUGGUUAGGACUCCAGGUUUUCACUGCCGAGGGCCCGGAUUCGAUCCUCGUUCGGGGAACUAAGAUCCCACAAGCCAUGU